CGCGGGGCCUGCUGGGAGCGCACGUCCCCGCCGCCGCUCCGCCGGUUUGAACUUGGCGGGCCCGAUGUGGGCGGCCGGGCUGUGGGGGGCCGGUUCGCCACCCUCCGACGCCGGGUCCUCCGCCGGCUGCAGGUCCAGGUCUCGGCCCUCCUCUGGCUCCUUCUCCGUCCUCAUGGCGGGCGCCCCGGGGCAGGGGCUGGAGCCGGUGACGGUGUGCUCGCCGCCGCCGAGCUGCAGCAAUUCCACCAUGUCGCUGUUGUCUCCCCUCGGCCACCAGAGCUUCCCGUUUGACUACGACGAUGGUGACGGGGAGGGUGAGGAAGACGUGGAUGAAGGUGCUCAUGAUUCGCAGGCUAAGGUGGCGAGCCUGAGAGGAGUGGAGUUACAGGGGUGCGCCAGUGUGGCUGAAUCAGAAGAUAACCAAGAAGAACAGAAACAGGUGCACCUACCAGAAAGCCGCCUGACACCAUGGGAAGUGUGGUUUGUUGGCAAAGAAAAAGUAGAACGUGACCGUUUGCAACAGAAAGCUCUGGAGGAAUUAAAUCAACAGCUAGAAAAAAGAAAAGAAAUGGAAGAACGUGAAAAAAGAAAGGUAAUUGCUGAAGAAAAGCACAAGGAAUGGGUUCAGAAAAAGAAUGAACAGAAAAGAAAGGAAAGGGAACAAAAAAUUAACAAGGAAAUGGAGGAAAAAGCAGCAAAGGAAUUGGAGAAAGAACAUUUGCAAGAAAAGGCAAAAGAAAAAUACCAAGAAUGGUUAAAGAAGAAAAAUGCUGAAGAAUGUGAAAAGAAGAAGAAAGAAAAGGAAAAAGAAAAACAACGGCAAGCUGAAUUACAGGAAAAAAAGGAAAUAGCAGAGAAAAGGUUUAAGGAAUGGUUGGAAAACGCAAAACAUAAACCUCGUCCAGCUGCAAAGAGCUAUGGUUAUGCCAAUGGAAAACUUACAGGAACCAUCAAGAAAUGAAGAUUUGUUGUGGCAAUAUAAAGUUCAUGAUAAUCGAUUUAUAUAAUAACUGACUUCGGUUAAUGUACUGGUCUUGACUGAGGAUAUACCAACAAGUUGGAGCGAACAACUGUUUUUCUAUCUGGGUCUCAUGAUUUUUCUAGGCUCCUAGAAGCUUUUACCUCUGGGAUCUCAUUGCACUGGAACGAAACUACACGAGUGUGACUGAAGGCCAACGGGCACGGACCGAGUGCUGUCCAGGUGGCUCAGGAUGGCUGAAGGAGUCUAGAGUUGUGUAUUUUAUAUCUUCCAGUCCUGUCUGAAUGUGAGACCUGGAACUUCGGUAGCCAUUUUACCAGCUUUACCAGAGGAUGAAGCACACACUUGAAGGAAGACAGCCAAAAUAGCUACACAGAGUAUGGCUUACAUGAAAAGAUGUUCUACAACUGCAACCUGUAUUUCUUAUCACCAACAGCUACAAUUUCUAAUCUCAACCUGCUGCAAGCUGCUCUCAUCAGGUAACAGAAGAAUGCCUUCUUUUGACUAUCACUAUUUGUUCUGUUAGAUCUAAAACAUAAUGCUCAUACGUUAUUUUUAUUUUUUAAGUUCUAACAUAGACAAUUAUCUCCUAGCGGAGCCUGGGUGGCUCAGGUGGUGAAGUGUCCAACUCUUGAUUUUGGCUCAGGUCAUGUUCUCAGGGUCGUGAGAUCGAGUCCCUGUUGGGCUCCAUGCUGAGUGGAGAGUGAGAUUCUUUCUCUCCCUCUCCCUCUGUCUUUCCCCUCCCCUGCUCUCGUGCACGCAUUCAUGUGAGCACAUGCUCUCUCUCAAAUAAAUAAAUAAAUCUUAGAAAAAGAAAAUUAUCUCCUAGCUAAAAUAAACAAAAACAUUUAUAAUCAUCCAAAGGAAUAUUACACUGUAUAUCAUUUCUUUUUAAUUUUUUAAAAAGAUUCUAUUUAUUUAUUUGAGAGGGAGGGAGUGAGAGAGAGAGAGAGCAAGAGCAGCGGGAAGGAGAAGAAAACUACCCACUGAGCAGGGAGCCUGAUGGGAGGCUCGAUCCCAGGACCCUGGGAUCACAACCUGAGCUGAAGGCAGACGCCUAACCAACUGAGCCACCCAGGUGCCCCUAUCAUUUCUAACUGUAGUUGGGACAAAUCCACAUAUGACUUCCCAGAUGCAAUCACCCUUCUGAGCUUCAGAUAUUUAUUUUUCCAUUAUCACUUGUUAGACCCACACAGUGGGCCAGGAACUGAGGAUGCAGGUGUGAACCGAGCAGACAUGGUACUUGCACCUCAUGGAACAUACGAUCUAUGGGGAAGAAAAAUCAGUGUGACUUACCUUCCAAAGCUGAAGUACAAGGUGUUAUGAGAAUAAAGAAGUGAAGAUUAGGUCGAGACCUGAAGAUUGAGUAGGCUAUACCUAGAAGGGGACAGGUCAUUGUGGGCAGAAGAAAUAGCAUGUGAGAAGGUCCGGUGGAGGGAGAGAACACAGCCUCUUAGGGGAAGUGAUAGAAGUCAAAUAUGGGCCAGAGUGGGGAUGGUUUGCUCUAUGGUUAUUCCUGACUUUGCUUCAAAUUUCUCCUUCCCUUAUUGUCCUGUAAAGUCUUACCAAAAAAAAAAAAAAAAAAAAAAUCUCAUCAAGUUAGGAACUGAGUUGAAACAUACUCUUUAUCUCAUAGCAUUUAACUCACUGCCAAAAAUAUUUGUUGAAUGAAGGCAUGGACUGUAAGACAGUAAUUUGUGUUAUGUUCCCGACUGUCUGGCUAUUAACUUUAGUCCUAGCCAAAGCUAUAUGUUUUAGGUAUAUUUAAAUUAUGAAUAAUUUGGCCACCAAUCAUUCCUGUUGUCUGAUUUCUAGGGGAAGCGUUACAGUUGUUUGUAAACAAUACUUGGCAAAAUUGCUAGAGUUGUGUUUUAAAAAGCCAUCAUCUUUUCAGUUCUACUUAUAUUGUGGACACUCAUUUUUACAUUGCAUUUAUUCCUGAAAAUGAAAAACUCCAUAUCAUUUUUGGUGAGAAUUAAUAUCCCCACUAUAAACUGGAAGAACAAAAGUAACCUGUCUGAUAUCUAGCAUUGCUCUUACUCAAUCCAUUAAACUCAUAUGGAAAUCUCCAUGAAGCAUAAAGAUACAAAGCAAACAAGGAGGAUCCUGGGGUGAUGAUGGUGACAUAGUUCUUAAUCUCUCUGAAUUUUCUUCAUAGGACAUCUAGUGUGCAGACCCAAAAACUCAGGGACAACAUCUAAACCCAAAUUAGGUGACAAGAUAUAUCCAUGAAGCCCAAAAUAUGAGUGGGCUAUAGAGACAGACUUUCCAAAGCCACAAUCUGCGGCAUCAGAAACGGUGCAGAGGAGGAAGCAGAGGGAAGCAACUAGGUACUGGAUGGAUCCGAAAAAUUCCCAGAGCACUAAUGACAGGUACUGGCACCUGUAGAAAGGCACCUUGAGAAUAGCAGUCAACCUGGGAGGUAUGUUCACGUUCCAACUCAGCUGCCUAUGAGGGGUCCGUGGUAAGGGACUGGAUUAGUCUGGGCCCUUGGGAACUCGAAAUACUUAACAGAUAAAACUCUCAUCCACGAGGAAGCUUCCUCCUGAGAAAAUGACGCCAAACUGAGCAGUC